rnacentral:rRNA from 1 species
GACAGAGGGGGCAAGCGUUGCUCGGAAUCACUGGGCGUAAAGGGCGCGUAGGCGGGAUGGCAAGUCGGUCGUGAAAUCCCUGGGCUCAACUCAGGGGGGUCGGCCGAUACUGCCGUUCUUGAGGGAUGCAGAGGAGACUGGAAUUCCCGGUGUAGCGGUGAAAUGUGUAGAGAUGUGGAGGAACACCGAUGGCGAAGGCAGCCCCCUGGGUCAAAACUGACGCUCAUGCACGAAAGCGUGGGGAGCAAACAGG